rnacentral:rRNA from 1 species
UACAGAGGAUGCAAGCGUUAUCCGGAAUGAUUGGGCGUAAAGCGUCUGUAGGUGGCUUUUUAAGUCCGCCGUCAAAUCCCAGGGCUCAACUCUGGACAGGCGGUGGAAACUACCAAGCUGGAGUACGGUAGGGGCAGAGGGAAUUUCCGGUGGAGCGGUGAAAUGCGUAGAGAUCGGAAAGAACACCGGUGGCGAAAGCGGCGUGCUGGACACCUCCUGACGCUGAGGCGCGAAAGCCAGGGGAGCGAAUGGG